AAUAUCAAAUCAGUGUGCAUUUAAUGGCCGAUAUGAAUUUUGUAGUAUCUUUCUAGAAAUGAAUAGGUCAUGCAUCUAUAUAAGAAAGACCAAACAACGAUCCCACAAUACAUGAACGAGAACUCUGUUAGAAGGCAAGCCAAAUAAGCAAGAAGUGCCAAGCCCCUUCAUCUUCUUCCUCUCAAUAUCUCCUCUUGAUCAUGGCACUUCUCAGUAAGGAUAGCACGGUUAUGUUCCUAGCAGCUCUUGUUGUCAUGGCCAUGGCUAUGAUAGUUUUGUCAUCAUCCUACGCACAAGCCGAUUAUUGCCACCAGAUCGUACCAUGCAAUGAGUCGACUUGCAGCAAUUUCUGCUUGAAGAACAACUUCAAGAACUUUGUGCCGAAUUGCCUGCCAGGAAGGAUGUACGACUACUGCUGCUGCAACAUAACCAGGGGGCUAGACUUUUGAUCAUAAUAUCCGUAGAUGGAAAUUAAUAUACUAUGGAGCAUCUUCUGCUUGAAAAUCACAUGUAAUCGUGAAUGUGGAAUGAAGGAGACAUGAUAAUAUUGCUCCGCAUAA